rnacentral:rRNA from 1 species
GUCUUGAAACACGGACCAAGGAGUCUAAUAUUUAUGCGAGUGUUUGGGUGUUAAACCCAUGCGCGGAAUGAAAGUGAACGGAGGUGGGAACCCUUAAGGGCGCACCAUCGACCGAUCCGGAAGUUUACGGAUGGGUUUGAGUAAGAGCAUAACUAUUGGGACCCGAAAGAUGGUGAACUAUGCCUGAAUAGGGUGAAGCCAGGGGAAACCCUGGUGGAGGCUCGCAGCGGUUCUGACGUGCAAAUCGACCGUCAAAUUUGGGUAUAGGGGCGAAAGACUAAUCGAACCAUUCUAGUAGCUGGUUCCUGUCGAAGUUUCCCUCAGGAUAGCAGUAACGUUUUCAGUUUUAUGAGGUAAAGCGAAUGAUUAGAGGCCUUAGGGAUGAAACAUCCUUAACCUAUUCUCAAACUUUAAAUAUGUAAGAAGUCCUUGUUACUUAUUUGAACGUGGACAUUUGAAUGUACCGUUACUAGUGGGCCAUUUUUGGUAAGCAGAACUGGCGAUGCGGGAUGAACCGAACGCGAGGUUAAGGUGCCGGAAUGCACGCUCAUCAGACACCACAAAAGGUGUUAAUUCAUCCAGACAGCAGGACGGUGGCCAUGGAAGUCGGAAUCCGCUAAGGAGUGUGUAACAACUCACCUGCCGAAUGAAUUAGCCCUGAAAAUGGAUGGCGCUCAAGCGUGCUACCCAUACCUCGCCGCCAGGGUAAAAACGAUGCCCUGGCGAGUAGGCAGGCGUGGAGGUCCGUGACGAAGCCUUGGGAGUGAUCCCGGGUAGAACGGCCUCUAGUGCAGAUCUUGGUGGU